rnacentral:rRNA from 1 species
GUGCCAGCAGCCGCGGUAAUACGUAGGUGGCGAGCGUUGUCCGGAAUUACUGGGCGUAAAGGGCGUGUAGGCGGGGGUAGAAGUCAGGUGUGAAAUACCGCGGCUCAACUGCGGGGAUGCAUCUGAAACUCUGCUUCUUGAGUGUCGGAGAGGAAAGCGGAAUUCCCAGUGUAGCGGUGAAAUGCGUAGAGAUUGGGAGGAACACCAGUGGCGAAGGCGGCUUUCUGGACGACAACUGACGCUGAGGCGCGAAAGCGUGGGGAGCAAACAGGAUUAGAUACCCUGGUAGUCCACGCUGUAAACGAUGGAUACUAGGUGUAGGAGGUAUCGACCCCUUCUGUGCCGGAGUUAACACAAUAAGUAUCCCGCCUGGGGAGUACGGCCGCAAGGCUGAAACUCAAAUAAAUUGACGG